GCUGAGUUUUAGCUCUCAGUGGUUAAACGCUGGACUUCAUUCACUCAGGUUCUGUCUGUCGGGUCACGUUUACUUCGCUGUUUUAUUUACAACUGAGCAAAUCGGUUUGGCUGAGGUUAAAGUUACGUUUCAUAACUGCAUAGUUUCACAGACGUUUAAUGGUUCACUGGCACAUGUGUUAGACUGAACUAUCAUCUAAAUAUCAUCUGUUUUUUAAUAGUUAUUCAACUGUAUUCUAAGCACCAGCUGUCUGUUAGAAUGUGAUUUUUUUUCUCUCUCUGUUGGCAGAGGUAUAAAAAUGCGCAGGAAAAUCUGACGUGCAUGGCGAACUUCACCGACGAUAUUUAGGGAGGAAUAAACACACAUCAAACAUAAAUGAACCAUUUAAUUUUCUCUUCUUAUAUCAACACUCUCUCUCUCUCUCUCUUUUUUUUUUUUGCUUUUUCGGUCAUGUUAUGUUUACCUGUCAAAGGCUUGUUACAAACUAUGAAACACAUUGUGCAGACUUCUGGAUGUUAGAAGAAAACGAAUACUGCUCAUGAAUGAGACUAAAGGCAGGAAGGUGUCCUUUAAAACUAAACAUGUUAAUAGGACCUCCCUGUUUAUAUCAUAGUUUAUGAUAUAGCACGUGUAUUUCAGUAAUAGCCUGCUGAGGCCACUAUACGUGCUGGCCUCAUAUCAAAUGUGAAGGCAGACUGAGUCUAUGUUUGACGUUUGUUUAUAUCUAAUCUUCCUUUUCAAACAUUUAAACAGCAGCGAGUCUGCAGCUGAGGGAAUACAAAUUCAAAUUGUCGGAACAGGUUUGCUCGUUUCUUGGAUUCAUUUGGUGAUUUAUUAAAUGUAUAACUGUAAUUCUAAUCUGCUGCUGAGUCUCUUACACUUUUCUUUAUGCUGUAUAUUUUCACGUCUCUGGAAUAGUUGGCAGUUAGAUAGUCAGCUGGGAAACUCAUGGAGCUGAGGAUAUCGUGGAUAUGCUGACCUCGCUGCGUGGUGUACAGAGCGAGGUCAGCAUGAUUAAUAUUCACAAUAAAAAUAUUAGCCGAACAUCAUGAAGUCUGUA
ensembl:lncRNA